rnacentral:rRNA from 1 species
CCUACGGGAGGCAGCAGUGGGGAAUUUUGGACAAUGGGGGCAACCCUGAUCCAGCCAUUCCGCGUGAGUGAAGAAGGCCUUCGGGUUGUAAAGCUCUUUCGCAAGGGAAGAAAACUUAUGAUCGAAUAAAUCAUGAGGUUGACGGUACCUUGAUAAGAAGCACCGGCUAACUACGUGCCAGCAGCCGCGGUAAUACGUAGGGUGCGAGCGUUAAUCGGAAUUACUGGGCGUAAAGCGUGCGCAGGCGGUUUUGUAAGUCGGAUGUGAAAUCCCCGGGCUCAACCUGGGAACUGCGUUCGAAACUGCAAGGCUAGAGUGUGUCAGAGGGGGGUUAGAAUUCCACGUGUAGCAGUGAAAUGCGUAGAGAUGUGGAGGAAUACCAAUGGCGAAGGCAGCCCCCUGGGAUAACACUGACGCUCAUGCACGAAAGCGUGGGGAGCAAACAGGAUUAGAUACCCUGGUAGUCCACGCCCUAAACGAUGUACAACUAGUUGUUGGUAGAGUAAAACUCUAUGAGUAACGUAGACUACGACGUGAGUAGACCGCCGUGGGAGGUACGGUCGCGAGAGUAAACGUACGAAGUAAGUAGUAGUACGUGAGAGAGACGACGACGACGACGACGGAGGAGGAGG